rnacentral:misc_RNA from 1 species
UUUCCGUAGGUGAACCUGCGGAAGGAUCAUUAACGAGUUAGGGUCUUCUAGGCCCGACCUCCCAACCCUUUGUUUACUGAACCAUUGUUGCCUCGGUGGGUCCGUCUUACGACCGCCGGGGGAUCGCCCCGAGGCGCCCCCUGGCCAGCGCCCACCGAUAGCCCAACCUUUAAAACCCUUUGUGAAUCGUGUCUUAUGUCUAAAUUUAUGAUUAAACAAUCAAAACAAAACUUUCAACAACGGAUCUCUUGGUUCUG